UGACCUGAACAACCAGCAAAAGACAACUGAGGGUGAGAAAACACUUUUUGGUUUUAAACCGCCGGAAGGGUUUAGAAGAAUGCGCAAAAUAGGUUAGAAGUAGCCGGAAUUACUUCAGGAAAUGCGCAAAGGUUGGAAGUAGCCGGAAUUACUUCAAAGAAGCACGUGAAAUAGGGUUUAAGUUCGCCACAAGGAACUGUGUUUAGAGUGGUUUUAGAAGUGACCGUGAAUUACUUCGUGACAAAUUAGCGCGCAAAUGUCUAUCUGUGUGUACGUAUAUGUGUUUUGGAAGUAAGUUGAUUUUGCAGCACAAUAAGUUGCUGAACUACUUCCAUUGUUUUUGUUUUUAUUGUUUUCUUUGCUGAGGCUCACGUACUGGUGACAAAGGAGAACGGUUGAGUUUUAUCUCGUAAAACUGAUACCGCUUCAUUUUUUAGAAAUGAAGUAGAAGGCCGUACCAGUAAACCACUCUGAAGUCUAGCGUGCCAGUGACGGCCCAGCAAAAUCUUUGAGAAUGGAGAAUAAACAAGCAAAAUUAACACCUGAUGAGAAAUGUUUAGAAAAACAACAAACCAGAGUAGGACUAAUCCAAAAGAAAGACAGAGGAAUGCUUAGUGGAACAACAAGAGGUAGAGGUAGACCUAUACACACACCAAAAAGUGGCUUUAGCACUGCAUGCUGGAGGUGUGGAAAAGAGGGACAUUUUGUACGUGACUGUAAGAAACUAAGAAGCAGUUCAGACUAGGAAGGAAAUAAUAAUCCCUCAUCAAGUGAAAAAUUAGAGAUCAAAGUAGAAGUUUAAAAUGAGUUGGAUACAGACCCAACUGAAUAUAUAUAUAAAUACUCUUAGGAAUAAAGUGGAAUAAAGAAAAGGUUAAAUUAAGGUUAACUUAAAUUAAAUUAGAGCUUAUCGCUACUAUAUUCAAACUAAUAAUAGGAAGCAUAGCAACCUGUAAAUUGGUAUUACCAAAUGAUACAAAAUUGGGUAGACAACCAUACCCAGAAUGAAUAGAAUGAAUGAAAGCAGAUAAUUCACACAAAAUAUAUCAAAUAAAAAAGAGAGAUGCAUAAGGCAUAUUACGGCUGCGUCAUUGUUCAGCCAAGGAAAAUGUCUCCAGCUUGGGAAGGUGUGAAGCUGCAGGUUCACACAGACCCGUGAUGGAUACAUAAUAAAAUAUAAAAUAAUAAUCUAUUGUAUAUUAGUAGUAUAGUAGUAUAUUGUAAUAUACUAUUGCUGUUAUAAUAAAGGAAAAACAAUACAAUGAUAACAUUAAUAAUGACAUAAUAUUAAUAAUAAGAGACACCUCAGUCAGUUAUGAUGUGAGGUGGAUAAUUGUUAAAAGUAGUCUGAUUCAAGCUUAAGGUUUGCUCAAACUCAGUACAAUGAUAUAUGCGAUGAAAAAAUAAGGAAAAUAUCUAAUCUAAUCAAGUGCAUAGAGACACCUGACCUGUCUGUAAACCUGUUAGCCUAGAUGAGACUUUCUUGAGAUGAAGAGCAAACCUAUACUAAUAAAUAAUAAGUCAAGCCCUGAAUACAACAGCUAAAGCUACAGGUUUGUGACAACACAACAGUGCACUGGCUGCUGAUUCUAUUUUUAGACGGUGUGUGUGUGAGAAUGCAAAUGAGAAGCCGUGAGGAUGAUGAGAGGUUUCAGUUUUCUUUUUCUUUUUCUUUUGACUUGCUCUUUCUGAUCAUGGAAGGCAUGUUUAAAAUACUCGUAUGAAAGCGUAUUUUAAGUGAUUUUAACCGUGUGAAUGCUGUCAGUAUUUGAUUUGAGUGACUCUGCAUGAUUUGUCUGAGUGAGUGGAAAAUGGAAGUUUGAGAGAGAAAAGGCAGUGUGUGAGACGAUUACUGAAUGACAAAAGAGGUUAGAAUGUUUAAAAGUGUGAAUGACAUAAAGGUGUUGGUUUUAGAUCAAGAUUUAGUAGAAUUAAAGAGGGUCUGUAGAUUAUAAAUAGAAAGAAAAAAAAAAACAAAAGAGUUAGAUUAGUUUGAAGAAACAGGAAAUAUGGCUCUGUGUACCGACGCUGCAGCGACAGGAAAUAGUGAACAGGAACUUUGCAUGCCCAUAUAUGGGAACUGAGUGUGUACAGAAAGAACACAGAGAGACAGAUGAGGCCCAUGAAGCAAAUGAAGCCUUUAAGAAAAAAUGAAUAUAAUACUAAUUAUAUGCUUUAGUGUGUCAAUACAGGUGGGCGUCUUUCAACUUUGCAACCUUGAGUUCAGCAGCAGAAGAGCAGAUUAACAGAAUUGGGAGAAAAUAAGCCAGUUUUUGGCUCGAAAUUGUGCAGCUUGAUCUCUCACUUUGUCCCUGAAACUGAGAAGAAGUUCAAAGGACAGUCAAUCGCCUGAUGAAGACCGACAGAACAUCGUGGACUUGAAUACAGCAGGCAAACGACAGUGCCACUGAUCCAUUAACACUGAUGACGACUGACGACCAGCAGCAGCAUGUAAGAGUAAUGCAACAUGUACUGUGAAAAUACAGGCUGGGCAGUUGAACAGUGGGAUAAAGAAUUGUGGAAGAGCACUGGACAUUGAGUGAUAUUUUGCCAUGCUGGGACUUAAUCUAAAAGAAAGACUGUAAAGAAACAGAGAAGAAGACAACAGCUGAGUUGAGACUGUGUUUGCUGGAGCUUUGAAGCACGAACAGGACACUGUGAAUGAAAGAGAGACCGGUGAGAGAUGAAGCUGGACGAGUUUGACUGCGAGAAUAUAGGAUAUAAUUGGAUUGAAAGUUGAAACCUGAACUCAUGACUGUUUAGGGAUGUCCACCACAGCAUAACAAAGAGGUAAACAUUAGAAAAGGUAAGAAUAAUGAAAGAAAUAAUUGUCAUUACCUUAAUGAAUAGAAAACACACAUACAAAUUGUUACAUGUGAGAUUAUUUUUGAAAUGAAUCAGAAGUGAGAUAGUUUGAAUUUAGAACUCAGUGAUAAGAUGCAUGAAUUAAACCUUAUUGAAACAAACACUUGCAAUGAAGAAAGCAGCUUACACUCAAUUAAUAUGAACGCAAAGCCUUGGUGCCAUAGGC
ensembl:lncRNA